rnacentral:rRNA from 1 species
UACGGAGGGGGCAAGCGUUGUUCGGAAUUACUGGGCGUAAAGGGCGCGUAGGUGGCGGUAUAAGUCAGACGUGAAAUCCCUCAGCUUAACUGAGGAAUUGCGUUUGAAACUGUAUUGCUUGAGUACAGGAGAGGAGAGUGGAAUUCCCAGUGUAGCGGUGAAAUGCGUAGAUAUUGGGAGGAACACCGGUGGCGAAGGCGGCUCUCUGGACUGUUACUGACGCUGAGGCGCGAAAGCAUGGGGAGCAAACGGG